AUGAUAAGCUGCAUAAGUGUCUUCUGUAUGACCCAUGAACAGCAAUGGAAAUCAAAGGAACAGCAAAUGAAACUGCAAAUUGCUAAACUAGAGAUGGCUAUCAAAUCUGAUUUAGCAGACAAAAAUGCAAUCCUUGACAAGAUCAAAGUAGAAAGAGCAUAUGGGACAGGAGGUUAAACAAGAAAGGCUAGAAGAUGAUAAGGUGGAGAUGGCUGAAGAAAUUUAACAGGAGACAGAAAAGCUCUCACAUCUGUCAGAGGAGCAGUUAGCUGACCAAACAUCAAUUACUUCUGGAAAUGAGAGAGAAAUAACUGAAGGAUUGGAACCAGAAG
rnacentral:lncRNA from 1 species